CACAUCCUCCUCCGGCAGCUCUGCCUGGAGCCCGGCCACCCCGGGCAGCACACACGCCCUUCCUCCUCCCAACGUCUGCUGACGAACACGGGCUCUCAACACAUCAAAACCAGCCUAAUUUUAAAUGACAGUGUCAUCUUUAUUUUUAAAAUAACUGUAACACAGCCGUGCCUGCCGCUCCUCCUCUGUGAAAGAGGCUUGACACCGCCCGGGUGCUCCAAACAAGGGUGGUGGCUUCGUGCCAGGACUGGCUCAGCCACCACUGCCUGCAGCUUUAAGGACUGGGACAUCCCUGAUACAGGACCUGAAAUUCCACAACACUCACGACCUCCCUGGGAAACCCUCAGCCCUGCCUGUACCCACCCCAGGGGCUGCCAGCACUCCCCACCACCAUUUCCACCAUCCAACAAACACUGUCCUGCUCCUGACCCAGCAGAGCCCAGCUCCACACACGGAUCUGCCAGGAAUGACAACAGAAAUAAAAUUAUCAAAACAACAGAGUCCAAAGACCUUCUGGGGCUGCAGCUGGGAGAAGAAAAACCCCAGGGUGAGGGAUGGUGGUGGGGCUGCAGCAGGACAGUAAAUCACUGCUUAAAACCAAAUGUAAGACCCAAUAAAGGA